rnacentral:rRNA from 1 species
GACAGAGGUCCCGAGCGUUAGGCGGAAUCACUGGGCUUAAAGCGCGUGUAGGCGGGCCGGCACGUCGGUCGCUGAAAGCCCCCGGCUCAACCGGGGAAGCGGCGCCGAUACGACCGGCCUGGAGGGGGGUAGGGGGCGCCGGAACGGCCGGUGGAGCGGUGAAAUGCGUUGAGAUCGGCCGGAACGCCCGUGGCGAAAGCGGGCGCCUGGACCCCGCCUGACGCUGAGACGCGAAAGCCAGGGGAGCGAACGGG